UCCUUCUUCCUCUCACCGCGCGCCUUCUCUUCUCCUCCCGUGCCCUAACCGGCGCCGUGGUGGUUUCCUUCCCCCUCUUUUCCUUUAUCUUCGGUGAUACCAAAGUCUUGCCUCCGCCCGACUCUUCUCUUCGUCUUCUUCAUUGGGCCGGCCACCACAACCGACGCCGCUGUGCCCUAGAUCUGCAGCGCGUCGACUGCUGCCUUGUUCCUUGCUUGAGCAGCCAACUAUCGCCGAGGAUUCUCCUCACAGUGUCGUGCCCUAGAGCUGAUGCCGCCACCGUCGUCUUCACAGCAGCCGAGAGCCUCGUGUCUCUGCCCUAUAGCGUCGUCGCUUCCUCUCUACCCUCUUCCGAUCCGGAGGGUUUCCUUCGUGCCGGCACAGAGCCACCACAGCGAACUUUGGGCCGAUUGCUACAGCCAACACCCACCACUUCUCUGGAUUUUUCUUCGAUUCGUGCCCUAGCACUGUUGCCGAUUUCAUUUCUUUUCCUCUGGUUGCCGGUGGUUUGGGAGUUCUAGUUUGGUAAAUGAAUCGGAUCUUGGAGUUCCUUGCUGUUGAUUGGGGUUACGGGAUUGAAGAGAAGGAGGGAGAGGUUGUAUCCAAUUGUUUGUUGUUCUGUGAAGGUGAUCUUGAAUUCCAGCAGCAGGGGACACACCGGUGAUUUCCAGCCGUGGGUUACACUCUGAUUACGAGGCGUCAAUAAUUUAUCAUCAGAUUUGGAUUUUAAUGCGAGACGAGUAUCUCGACGUCAGAUUAAGACCGAUUGGACCUUUCUUAUUG